UUCCGGUUGAUCCCGCCAGAGGCCAUUGCUAUCGGAGUCCGAUUUAGCCAUGCUAGUCGCACGGGUUUAGACCCGUGGCAGAUAGCUCAGUAACACGUGGCCAAACUACCCUAUGGAUCGAGAUAACCUCGGGAAACUGAGGCUAAUCUCGAAUAAAGUUUCCACUCUGGAGUGAGGGAAACUGGAAACGUUCCGGCGCCAUAGGAUGUGGCUGCGGCCGAUUAGGUAGGCGGUGGGGUAACGGCCCACCGUGCCGAUAAUCGGUACGGGUUGUGAGAGCAAGAGCCCGGAGACGGAAUCUGAGACAAGAUUCCGGGCCCUACGGGGCGCAGCAGGCGCGAAAACUUUACACUGCACGACAGUGCGAUAAGGGGACUCCGAGUGCGAGGGCAUAUAGUCCUCGCUUUUGUACACCGUAAGGUGGUGUACGAAUAAGGGCUGGGCAAGACCGGUGCCAGCCGCCGCGGUAAUACCGGCAGCCCGAGUGAUGGCCGCUAUUAUUGGGCCUAAAGCGUCCGUAGCCAGCCAGACAGGUCCGUCGGGAAAUCCACUCGCUCAACGAGUGGGCGUCCGGCGGAAACCAGCUGGCUUGGGGCCGGAAGAUCCGAGGGGUACGUCCGGGGUAGGAGUGAAAUCCUGUAAUCCUGGACGGACCACCGGUGGCGAAAGCGCCUCGGAAAGACGGACCCGACGGUGAGGGACGAAAGCUAGGGUCACGAACCGGAUUAGAUACCCGGGUAGUCCUAGCUGUAAACGAUGCUCGCUAGGUGUGGCGUUGGCUACGAGCCAGCGCUGUGCCGUAGGGAAGCCGAGAAGCGAGCCGCCUGGGAAGUACGUCCGCAAGGAUGAAACUUAAAGGAAUUGGCGGGGGAGCACUACAACCGGAGGAGCCUGCGGGUUUAAUUGGAUUCAACGCCGGA
rnacentral:rRNA from 1 species